rnacentral:rRNA from 1 species
UACGGAGGGUGCGAGCGUUGUCCGGAAUCACUGGGCGUAAAGGGCGCGUAGGCGGCUGGGGAAGUCCGUGGUGAAAGCUCGUGGCUCAACUGCGAGUCGGCCAUGGAUACUCCUCGGCUCGAGCACUGUAGAGGCAGGUGGAAUUCCGGGUGUAGCGGUGGAAUGCGUAGAGAUCCGGAAGAACACCGGUGGCGAAGGCGGCCUGCUGGGCAGUAGCUGACGCUGAGGCGCGACAGCGUGGGGGAGCAAACCGG